CGGGGCGUGGCGCAGUUUGGUAGCGCACCCGCUUUGGGAGCGGGGGGUCGCAGGUUCAAAUCCUGUCGCCCCGAC
rnacentral:tRNA from 4 species